AGGCCUAACACAUGCAAGUCGAACGCACUCUUCGGAGUGAGUGGCGCACGGGUGAGUAACGCGUGGGAACGUACCCUUCGGUGCGGAAUAACCACUGGAAACGGUGGCUAAUACCGCAUACGCCCCUCGGGGGAAAGAUUUAUCGCCGAAGGAUCGGCCCGCGUUGGAUUAGGUAGUUGGUGUGGUAAUGGCGCACCAAGCCGACGAUCCAUAGCUGGUCUGAGAGGAUGAUCAGCCACACUGGGACUGAGACACGGCCCAGACUCCUACGGGAGGCAGCAGUGGGGAAUAUUGGACAAUGGGGGCAACCCUGAUCCAGCCAUGCCGCGUGGGUGAAGAAGGCCUUCGGGUUGUAAAGCCCUUUCAGGUGGGAAGAUGAUGACGGUACCACCAGAAGAAGCCCCGGCUAACUUCGUGCCAGCAGCCGCGGUAAUACGAAGGGGGCUAGCGUUGUUCGGAAUUACUGGGCGUAAAGCGCGCGUAGGCGGAAACGUCAGUCGGAGGUGAAAGCCCAGGGCUCAACCUUGGAACUGCCUUUGAUACUGCGUUUCUUGAGUCCGGAAGAGGGCGGUGGAAUACCCAGUGUAGAGGUGAAAUUCGUAGAUAUUGGGUGGACACCAGUGGCGAAGGCGGCCGCCUGGUCCGGUACUGACGCUGAGGUGCGAAAGC
rnacentral:rRNA from 1 species